GGAUGCUUCAAUCAGGGAGAGAUAAUUAAAGUAGGAAAAAUCAUGUUGGGCCGGAGGAAAACAUCUCAGAUGAUUGGACGUCGGGUCGGAGGAUCGGUCGAUCAAUCGACAGAAGGCUUCGGGCCAUGGAUUCGGGCAUCGGGCCGAGAAGAGCGAAUAUUGCAUCAAGGAUAUCGGAGUUGCAGAGUCAACUGGCCGAUUAGGCAAUAGGCC
rnacentral:lncRNA from 1 species